CGCGUAGGCGGUUUGGUAAGUCGGAUGUGAAAUCCCCGGGCUCAACCUGGGAAUUGCAUUCGAUACUGCUUGACUAGAGUAUGGUAGAGGGAAGUGGAAUUUCAGGUGUAGCGGUGAAAUGCGUAGAUAUCUGAAGGAACAUCAGUGGCGAAGGCGACUUCCUGGACCAAUACUGACGCUGAGGUGCGAAAGCGUGGGGAGCAAACA
rnacentral:rRNA from 1 species